CAACGGCGACGGCGGGGUGCCGGCCUAAGGAGCUUCGCUACUAAUAAUUUGAGUUUUUACAGCGUCUAUGGGAGCACCUACGGCUGGAAAUGCUGUCUCUAAUGUGCUGGAGAACUCCGGACAGGCCGGUACCUUUAGUAAUCUUGUGCAUCGAGGUGGAACUUCGGUUCAAUGCUAACAUAGCAAGACUCGAGAGCGAACUCAAUGAUGUGGUAGACGUUUUCUCUGAAAAGAAAGAACGGGUCUGCACACUGGUGGAUGUUAUGAAGCACAUACAAGGCAACGUUGGGCACAGUCUGAUAAAUGAGACGGAAUUGCCUGGUGAUGAACUUCAAAUAUCAGCGCCUCAC
rnacentral:lncRNA from 1 species